rnacentral:rRNA from 1 species
AGAGUUUGAUCCUGGCUCAGGAUGAACGCUAGCGGCAGGCUUAACACAUGCAAGUCGAGGGGUAGAAGUUUUCGGACUUUGAGACCGGCGCACGGGUGCGUAACGCGUAUGCAAUCUACCUUUUACAGAGGGAUAGCCCAGAGAAAUUUGGAUUAAUACCUCAUAGUAUUAUUGAAUGGCAUCAUUUAAUAAUUAAAGUUCCAACGGUAAAAGAUGAGCAUGCGUCCCAUUAGCUAGUUGGUGUGGUAACGGCACACCAAGGCAAUGAUGGGUAGGGGUCCUGAGAGGGAGAUCCCCCACACUGGUACUGAGACACGGACCAGACUCCUACGGGAGGCAGCAGUGAGGAAUAUUGGACAAUGGGCGCAAGCCUGAUCCAGCCAUGCCGCGUGCAGGAUGACGGUCCUAUGGAUUGUAAACUGCUUUUAUACGGGAAGAAACCCUGGCUCGUGAGCCAGAUUGACGGUACCGUAGGAAUAAGGAUCGGCUAACUCCGUGCCAGCAGCCGCGGUAAU